AUGUCUAAUGUUCUUGUUUCUCCCGACCUAGUCAUGAACUUUGUAUAUGUUCGUCGCCUUGCUCGUGAGAAUCACAUUACUGUUGAAUUUGACGAUGUUGGUUUUUCUGUGAAGGACGCCCGUACCCAGAUGGUUCUCCAUCGAUGUGAUAGCCCUGACGAGCUCUACCCAGUGCACUCCUCCGCCACCACCUCCACCCACCCAGUCGCCCUUGCCGCCAGUGUCGACCUUUGUCAUGCUCGUCUCGGACAACCCAACUCCACCGUUUUGCGUCAAAUUCUUCGGAGUUUUUCAUUCUCAUGUAAUAAGGUUGACGACCAUACUUGUGAGGCUUGUCAUCUUGGCAAGCACGUUCGUCUCCCCUUUAGCACGUCUACAACUAUUUCCACUUUUCCGUUUCAGUUACUUCAUAGUGUGUUUGGACAUCCCCGGUUGCAAGCAACACGGGCUAACCUAUACUACUUGGUGAUUUUAGAUGAUUUCUCUCAUUAUGUGUGGACAUUUCCUCUUCGUCGCAGGUCUGAUGCCCUUGCCACACUCACCGCCUUUUAUUCCUACGUCACCGCACAGUUCGGUUCGUCCUAUCCUUGCACUACAAACUGA
rnacentral:rRNA from 1 species